CAUCUGAAAAUACGUUUUUGGAUAAGUGUAACCCUCCAGCUCCGGAGGGGAGACAGCGAGGCUCGUUGCUGGCUUCGAGGGUCGGCAAGAGCACAACACCAAAAAGCCACAAGGCCAUGGGUGAUGAGGAGUGGAUGGCAAGGCUGAGGGCGGUUUGGCCUUCUGGAGGAGGCAAUAGACCAGCCCCAAGGCAGAAGAUGUGGCACGUCCUCUAUCAGAAGAUAAAAUUGAGAAAUGCCCCAUGCAGGCCCGUAGAUAGAGCCCCCUCUUUGGAGGGUCCAUGGCCGCCAUGGCCUGUAAUUGCCGAUGCCAUGGCGUUACGGUAAUCGGUUUAAGAAUUAAGUCUCUUUAUUGUUCAUCUUGUAUUGCAUGUCUGUUAAAUGCUUUUAUUUUUUUACAAUCUUCUGCUGUUGUUCCACAGUCUAUGGCCUCAGCACCAUCUCCAGCUCCUCUUGAUGCUACUCCACAGUCUGUGGCCUCGGACUUAGUGCGGCCUUUUCUGCGACACGCUCUAAAUGUGUAACGCCCUGUUCUCCCCAGUGUGUCUUGAUUGUUUAUUCCCUGCACCUGCCCUCUGUCUCCCUGAUUACUGAUGCCCUACACCUGUGGUUUCCCCCCCUAUAUAUUGUCCCAGUCUUUCCCUUGUAGCCUAUCGAAUUGUUGUCUUUGUUCUCGUUGUAUUUACUAGUGUCAUCGAUCCUUCAAUUUGUAACUGUUGUGGAUUCCAAGUGCGUUUAAAAAAAAAAGUGAAGUUGCGUACAGCCAGAGUUUUUAUAUAAAACCUUUUCCCCAAGUAAAGUUUUUUUGUUCCCUUUAUCUGGAGAAGUGCCUGCUUCCUCUGCACCUGAGCUCUUGCCCCACCACACCAGUGAUAAAAUGUGUCAAUGGUGAAUAUGUGUUUUAGUAAUUCAAGUUUUGUAUGACUUAUUUUGUAUCUGUUGUAUCCUUAAAUCAACUCUGGUUAGCCUUUCAGUUGACGCUUUGGUGGGUCAAAGUCUACCUUACUAAAUCCACAUUUAGUGGGGAGGAGGACCCCUGGCCCUUCUCCUCCUCUGUGGGGGACACUCGGCUCUGCUGGAAAUUACGGCAUUGUAUAAGAUGCUCUGAGCACUGUGUAGCUUACUGUGUUCGUUCUGGCUUCAUUAUAAGACAUAUUUUGUGUUUCCUUUAUUCAUGCAUAAACCUAAUUAUUAUUUGUUGUCUUCCAAACUGUGUGAGCCUGGAGGAGUUCAGCUAUAGGCGCUGCUGGGGCUCCAGCUUCACUCUGGCUGUCGUCUGAGAUGAGACAGGCCCUCCCUGUCCAGGACCAGAGGUGGAUUUCAUAUUGUGUGGUGUUGUAUAUGUGAUAUUAUUCUUGGAUUGAAAGAUUGUACAGACUGGUGUAUUUAUCUUUUCCUCAAAAUGUAACUAAAUGUUAUUAGGAUUGGUAUAUUCUUCAGUGUUUUGUGGUGGUGUUUAUUAUUCUAUUAUAAUGUGGUGUUUUGUAUAUUUUGUCCUUAUUUAAAUAAGUUUUUUUUCCAUACGUUU